UACGUAGGGUGCGAGCGUUAAUCGGAAUUACUGGGCGUAAAGUGUGCGCAGGCGGCCGCGCAAGUCGAGUGUGAAAGCCCCGGGCUUAACUUGGGAAUUGCGCUCGAAACUACGUGGCUGGAGUGUGGCAGAGGAAGGUGGAAUUCCAGGUGUAGCGGUGAAACGCGUAGAGAUCUGGAGGAACACCGAUGGCGAAGGCGACUUCCUGGCCUGUUCUUGACGCUGAGGCGCGAAAGCUAGGGUAGCAAACGGG
rnacentral:rRNA from 1 species